rnacentral:rRNA from 1 species
AGUUUGAUCCUGGCUCAGAGCGAACGCUGGCGGCAGGCUUAACACAUGCAAGUCGAACGGGCGUAGCAAUACGUCAGUGGCAGACGGGUGAGUAACGCGUGGGAACGUACCUUUUGGUUCGGAACAACUGAGGGAAACUUCAGCUAAUACCGGAUAAGCCCUUACGGGGAAAGAUUUAUCGCCGAAAGAUCGGCCCGCGUCUGAUUAGCUAGUUGGUGAGGUAAUGGCUCACCAAGGCGACGAUCAGUAGCUGGUCUGAGAGGAUGAUCAGCCACAUUGGGACUGAGACACGGCCCAAACUCCUACGGGAGGCAGCAGUGGGGAAUAUUGGACAAUGGGGGCAACCCUGAUCCAGCCAUGCCGCGUGAGUGAUGAAGGCCCUAGGGUUGUAAAGCUCUUUUGUGCGGGAAGAUAAUGACGGUACCGCAAGAAUAAGCCCCGGCUAACUUC